GUGCUCGUUUUGGCAGCACAUAUACUAAAAUUGGAAUGAUACAGAGAUUAGCAUGGCCCCUGUGCAAGGAUGACACGCAAAUUCGUGAAGUGUUAAAAAAAAAC